UACGUAGGGUGCAAGCGUUAAUCGGAAUUACUGGGCGUAAAGCGUGCGCAGGCGGCUUUGCAAGACAGAUGUGAAAUCCCCGGGCUUAACCUGGGAACUGCAUUUGUGACUGGCGGGCUAGAGUAUGGCAGAGGGGGGUAGAAUUCCGCGUGUAGCAGUGAAAUGCGUAGAUAUGCGGAGGAACACCGAUGGCGAAGGCAAUCCCCUGGGCCUGCACUGACGCUCAUGCACGAAAGCGUGGGGAGCAAACAGG
rnacentral:rRNA from 1 species